GCCAGGUAUAGUGGCGUGUGCCUGUGAUCCCAGCUACUCAGGAGGCUGAGGCAGGAGAAUCGCUUGAACCCAGGAGGUGGAGGUUGCAGUUAGGCAAGAUCAUGCCACUGCACUCCAGCCUGGGUGACAGAGUGAGACUCUGUCUCAA
rnacentral:SRP_RNA from 2 species